UUAUAUUUGACAGACACAUACAGUUUUGAUGCCUCUGCAUUGCAAAUCUUAGCAUAAUUGACAGAAAUAAGAAGUUAAGAAACUUUUACAAGAAAAGGAGAAAACUACAGCCCACCAGAAAAAAGGGCUCCUAGGCGACGCAACGCAACAGGGGUGGAUGGAUUCAAGCAAAGCUCACCAUGAGGCCCUUUCCUCGUUCAUAGUUAUCCCCCUCUGGCUUCUCUUCAAUCAAUCUCUGCCAGAAAAUCCAACACAAAGGAUCACAGCAUCAACAAAGGCACAAUGCUGCUCCAGUAUAAGUUGAUAAUUGAUUCCUUUUGCAAAACCAAAAUCAAAUAGUGCUAAUAAUCACCUCCGAUAAAAUAGUGCUGGUAGAGACAGAAACAAGCUCAAAUAAAAUCUGUAAUGGACCAGGUAGAUGUCAAACAUGAUCAAUUGCAAAAGCAAACUACACCGAAUUAAAAGCCACUGACCAAGGAAAAAAAAAGGCUCUGAUCUGCAAACAUGAUACUACAUUCCAAAAUUCAGAAGAUUUCAACAAAUAGACUAGUAAAAAAAUGAGAGGGACUCCUUAACAAGAGUCUUGAGCAAUUUCAUUUUUGACCAAGUUGGAAUUGAUACAUGAUACUAUGAGAACUUCUAUAACUGGACGACGACAACAACAAUAACAACAACAAACAAUCAUGCUAAUAAUCGAAUCCUCAGAUCAGAGUGUAGUUACUCAGAGUGCAACAAGUAACUACACGAAACAGCCAGAUGAACGAUUUAAUUCUGCUAUUCUGUGGCCGAAGGCUGAAGCUUGGAAGAUGCGAGUGCCACUACGGCUCUGCAUUCUAUGCUUACCAAAGUUCUGAACAAAGAGCAAUUCAGUGUUGUUUGUUUCGGGAGGCUGUGCCCUAAGUUAAGUUGGUACCUUGUAGAUAGUUGGUAGACCAUAGUUUCAGUUUGGUGUUGAUGAAUGUGUCUGAAUUUCGCUUCCUCUGAUAUCUUGGAGAGGAGUUGUUUACACCCAAAUCAGAAGAGAAACUUGCAUUUCGUUCCAUCAGAAAGGGACCAGCUGCUGAAACCGCUUUCCCCCACGAAUCUGCUGUCCAGAGCAAAAUUGAAGUGAUAACAGAUAAAUCCCACUGUUGAUAGCUGAAAGCUACUCCAACCAAAAAAUAUUAAAGAAACUGACGAUGUGAAGCCGUGACCCAAACCCUAGAAAUGAAAUCCAGCUCCUCCCAUCCGCCCCCCCAAAACCCUAGAAAUGAAAUCGGUGCUCAUCACCAUCCACCUCCAGCGGCCUCCGCACAUCACAGGCCGAGUCGCCGAAUAGCCUC
rnacentral:lncRNA from 1 species